UGAACCAGCGGAGGGAUCAUUACCGAGUUUACAACUCCCAAACCCAAUGUGAACGUUACCAAACUGUUGCCUCGGCGGGAUCUCUGCCCCGGGUGCGUCGCAGCCCCGGACCAAGGCGCCCGCCGGAGGACCAACCUAAAACUCUUUUGUAUACCCCCUCGCGGGUUUUUUAUAUCUGAGCCAUCUCGGCGCCUCUCGUAGGCGUUUCGAAAAUGAAUCAAAACUUUCAACAACGGAUCUCUUGGUUCUGGCAUCGAUGAAGAACGCAGCGAAAUGCGAUAAGUAAUGUGAAUUGCAGAAUUCAGUGAAUCAUCGAAUCUUUGAACGCACAUUGCGCCCGCCAGUAUUCUGGCGGGCAUGCCUGUCCGAGCGUCAUUUCAACCCUCGAACCCCUCCGGGGGGUCGGCGUUGGGGAUCGGCCCUUUACGGGGCCGGCCCCGAAAUACAGUGGCGGUCUCGCCGCAGCCUCUCCUGCGCAGUAGUUUGCACACUCGCAUCGGGAGCGCGGCGCGUCCAUUGCCGUAAAACACCCAACUUUCUGAAAUGUUGACCUCGGAUCAGGUAGGAAUACCCGCUGAACUUAAGCAUAUCAAU
rnacentral:rRNA from 1 species